ensembl:miRNA microRNA 7679
AGGCUGGCACCAGGAUCCCUGAUCUGAGAUUCUUACUGUCAGGAUCCCAGGGUACCAACCAGC